GAGCAUAUAUCUUAACUGGUAGAGCGCCUGCUUAGCAUGCAUGAGGUCCUGGGUUCAAUCCCCAGUACCCUCC
rnacentral:tRNA from 1 species